CUUUUCUGUCAUGAAGCUUGCUGUAUGUAAGCUGUACAAACUCUGCCGUCAUCAUCAUAUUCAAGGCGGUGUGGUAAUUGUGUGGAGGACUGCUGCCCUGAGACCCUGAGAGGAAUAUUGUCACUUCCAAAGCCCAUUACAAGCCUGCAAUGGGCUCUAUGAACUGUCCAGAGCAAAGUCAGUCUGUCCUGAUGGCACUACCUGCUACUAUGGCUGCUGCUCUCAACCUGGUGGGGCAAGUCUUAAGAGUUGCAGACGGGGGAGCAAAGGGAGUUCCUGGACCCUUAAAGGGUUAAGGCCAUAAUGGGCCACCCAGAAGAGAUUCAGGCUCUCCCUCAAGAUUGCUGGGCCAUGCAAUUAAUGCCAAACUUACAGAACUGUGAUGUCAGUACAGAAACAAAA